rnacentral:rRNA from 1 species
AUGUACAUUCCUACAACAUAGCAUUAAUGCAAUGGAUCCCAUUAGAACUUCAUAAUUAAGUGCGCUUGGGCUAGAAUAGUACUGGGAUGGGUGACCGCUCGGAAAUUCCUAGUGUUGUACAUG